AGAUCACUCAUCCCUCCAUGCAAUCCGAAGCAGCUCGCCUCGAUGUUUGUCCAGGAGCAGAGCAAAUCUUCUCAGCACCUCCACUUGUGCAGCGUCGCAGAGCACCGUCCAUUUUUGCAAAUUCCCUUUUAACUUGGCAAGGCCGCAUCCCAAGCCUUUCCACGAUCGUCCCUGGAAGCAGAAAUCAUUCCUCAAAGUCCAGAUACUCCACAAGGAGGCAGCAGUGAUCAUAUUAAGCAUAAUUCUCUUCUUUUUACUUUUCCACAUGGAAGAAAUAUCAUCAAAAAAUUGAAUCUUUCUUAUCAUAAAAAAUUCAGAAACAAUAGACCAAAUAUGCUCAGCAUUGAUACAAUCAAAAAAUAGGUGUUGUAUAGACUCCUUUU
rnacentral:lncRNA from 1 species